rnacentral:lncRNA from 1 species
AUGGAAGUGAACGUGCAGUCAUUGUUUUUUAGCAUGUUAACUCUUUUGUAAUUCUUUAAAUGAUCAAUAUACAAUGAGUAUCGUGAGUAUUGUGUGUGUGAGUUUGUAUUAGCCAAUGCCUGAACCAACAAUUGGUAUCAGAGCGAAGGUUAAACAAGGGCCGUUUUGAGAGUCGACAGUCGGAAGUGUUGUUCGCCUUCGGGUGUGGGCUGCCAUUGCAGCGGAAUCUUAGGUGGGUCGACAAUCACAGGCUUUGGCUACUGAUUCGGGUUGGAAAUAAGGGGUGUUACUACACACAUAACACGAGGGAUCGUUAUACAGCAGAAGGCGGAGACCGGGAGGUGGUUCGUGUCAGUCGUUAUAGUGCGGAGAGUACCGGUUAGGAUGACAGGGGUGACGGGUGAACACUAGUGUGUCUCGUGGCUGUUAGCUGUUAUCAAAGUGGAAGAAAUGGACUCCAACGAUCAGAGGUUACUGGUGUGCAGGUGACAGAUUAACAGUGAUCGGAGAAACCUAGGUGAUCGCAGGUUAGCGGUUUCGAGGGUUGAUGUUCUAGGGGAUCAAAAGGGUAGCGGAGACGAGUCGUGAUUUAGGCCAAAUCAGCGGGCUUGUUAACCCAGUUUUGUUGAUCAAAGAACGAAGAAGGGAUCGAGUUUUUAUUUUUCGGGUACUCUUUCUCGCUGAGGAGAAGAAUCGCAAGGAGGCGUAGAAUUCUUAUGGCAGAACAACCAACGGGUAUAGCGCGGUAGAAACGAAACAGCGGGGUGGCUGAGAUUUCGUUUAGCGACUCGAAGACGGUGCAGCGGGUGGCUAGCGUCUAGUUGGUGGUUGAUACUCAAGUGGUGCUUAUCAAGGAAUGGUUUGACAGAAUAGUGAAAUCACAAUCAGAGACGACUUUGGACGUGGUCGAGGUGAACACCGGGGUGUCCAGGAUAGGUCGAGUUAUUGGAAGGCUUUGGGCGUGACCGUAGUUGAAGUCGGGUGUCCGAUAGAAGUCGAGAUGGUUCGAGAGGAGACGGUGACUCAGGUGUCGUGAACGAGUGGGUGAUUGUUGGGUUAAUCGGUUCGUAUACGGGUCACAGGUCGACCUGUUAUCGGGUCACGAGUCAAAUGGUUCGAAUGGGUCAUCCGGGUUGUUCCUUUCAGCAUAUGCUAAUAUUGAAUAAAGUAUUUAUACCCAUAAUUUAGAAUCUACACGUUAGUGUGAAAUGGUCAAGUUUGACCGAGUUUCAUGCAAAUGGAUGUUGGAUGGAAGUGAACGUGCAGUCAUUGUUUUUUAGCAUGUGUUCAUUUUUAAUUAUAAAUAGUAGUAGUUUUUCUUUGU